UACGUAGGCAGCGAGCGUUGUUCGGAAUUACUGGGCGUAAAGAGUGUGUAGGCGGUGCUCUAAGUUCGGUGUGAAAUCUCCCGGCUUAACUGGGAGGGUGCGCCGGAAACUGGAGUGCUCGAGCGUGGGAGAGGAAAGCGGAAUUCCUGGUGUAGCGGUGAAAUGCGUAGAUAUCGGAAGGAACACCUGUGGCGAAAGCGGCUCACUGGACCAUUACUGACGCUGAGGCACGAAAGCUAGGGGAGCAAACAGG
rnacentral:rRNA from 1 species